rnacentral:rRNA from 1 species
AUUGAACGCUGGCGGCAUGCUUUACACAUGCAAGUCGAACGGUAACAGGCCUUCGGGUGCUGACGAGUGGCGAACGGGUGAGUAAUGCAUCGGAACGUGCCCAGAGGUGGGGGAUAACGCAGCGAAAGCUGUGCUAAUACCGCAUGUGAUCUGAGGAUGAAAGCGGGGGACCAGGCAGCAAUGUUUGGCCUCGCGCCUUUGGAGCGGCCGAUGUCAGAUUAGGUAGUUGGUGGGGUAAAGGCCUACCAAGCCGACGAUCUGUAGCUGGUCUGAGAGGACGACCAGCCACCCGGGGACUGAGACCCGGCCCAGACCCCUCAGGGAGGCAGCAGGGGGGAAUUUGGGACAAUGGGCGCAAGCCUGUUCCAGCAAGGCCGCGGGCGGGAAGAAGGCCUUCGGGUUGUAAACCGCUUUUGUACGGAACGAAAAGGCUCUGGCUAAUACCUGGGGCUGAUGACGGUACCGAAAAAAUAAGCACCGGAUACCUCCGU